AACCGCCCCUCGCUGUAUUUCCAUAACCUCAACAUCCAGCAGUGAAAGCUCGGAAUGGAUGUAUUUGUCACACGGCAAAAGGAGGCCCAGGAAGAGCAAGAGAGAUUAUCUUACAUGUUGGCAAAGCAACUGUAUCCGACUCCUCCCUCGGUCCCCAUCCUGCUCAGGAGCUGUCUGGGAGAACGAGAUUACCAGAGCAACAAGGAGGCUGUUUCCGGGGCGCCUGGUGGCUCAGUUGGUCAAGCAUCUGAUCCGGCUCAGGUCAUGACCCCGGGGGACCGGGUUCCAUCGAGUCCUGCGGCACCAGCUCCCUGCUGGGCGGGCACCUGCUGCGCCCUCUGCU